GAAAUGCGAUACGUAGUGUGAAUUGCAGAAUUCAGUGAAUCAUCGAAUCUUUGAACGCACAUUGCGCCCUUUGGUAUUCCAAAGGGCAUGCCUGUUCGAGCGUCAUUUGUACCCUCAAGCUUUGCUUGGUGUUGGGCGUUUUUUGUCUUUGGCUCGCCCAAAGACUCGCCUUAAAACGAUUGGCAGCUGGCCUACUGGUUUCGCAGCGCAGCACAUUUUUGCGCUUGCAAUCAGCAAAAGAGGACGGCAAUCCAUCAAGACUCCUUCUCACGUUUGACCUCGGAUCAGGUAGGGAUACCCGCUGAACUUAAGC
rnacentral:misc_RNA from 1 species